AAGACCUUUAGUUAAUAUUUCUAAAUUAUUGUUCGGAAGUUUUUCAAAAGUUUAUAAAAUUUCCAUCCAAGUUUUAAGAUGUUCGUGUAAAAGAAUCUGUGAAGAAGACUUUGGUAUCCUCGGCUUUCUUGAACUGCUUUUCUUUUAUUUUCACCAAAGCUGCUUCUUCCGGGUUUUGCAAGAU